CGGUUGAUCCUGCCGGAGGUUACUGCUAUCGGAGUUCGAUUAAGCCAUGCGAGUCUAAAGGUUUCUUCGGAAACCUUGGCGGACUGCUCAGUAACACGUGGAUAACCUACCCUUGGGACUGGAAUAACCCCGGGAAACUGGGGAUAAUACCGGAUAGAUCAGGGAUGCUGGAAUGCACCUUGAUCCAAAGCUCCGGCGCCCAAGGAUGGGUCUGCGGCCUAUCAGGUAGUAGUGGGUGUAACGUACCUACUAGCCAACGACGGAUACGGGUUGUGAGAGCAAGAGCCCGGAGAUGGAUUCUGAGACACGAAUCCAGCCCUACGGGGUGCAGCAGGCGCGAACACUUUACAAUGCGGGAAACCGCGAUAAGGGAACCCCGAGUGCCAGCAUCAAAUGUUGGCUGUCCAGAUGAUUAAAAAUCAUUUGUUAGCAAGGGCCGGGCAAGACCGGUGCCAGCCGCCGCGGUAACACCGGCGGCCCGAGUGGUAGCCGUUUUUAUUGGGUCUAAAGGGUCCGUAGCCGGCUUGAUAAGUCUUUUGGGAAAUCUGGCAGCUUAACUGUCAGGCUUCUAAGGGAUACUGUCAGGCUUGGGACCGGAAGAGGUAAGGGGUACUCCAGGGGUAGGAGUGAAAUCUUGUAAUCCCUGGGGGACCAUCUGUGGCGAAGGCGCCUUACCAGAACGGGUCCGACGGUGAGGGACGAAAGCUAGGGGAGCAAACCGGAUUAGAUACCCGGGUAGUCCUAGCUGUAAACGAUGCUCGCUAGGUGUC
rnacentral:rRNA from 1 species